UCACCCCUGAGGUGUGCGUGAUCGGUGUGCGGGUGUUAACCUCACAAGCAUGAAGAUGAGAGGUGUCGGCAUCGUUCCGCCGGUGCGCAAGCCCGACCUGAUCGGGAAGCCUGAAGGCGGCACCGAGACGCCUCGACCUGGAAAGCCAGGUUCUGCAUCGGCUGCCGACACGGCACUUCGGGGUCUGU
rnacentral:other from 1 species